UUCAAUACUGUUGCGCAAGCAACAGUGUGCACUUUUCUCUUAGUAAGACGUUGUGAUCCAUUAGGAAUUGAGUAUUCAUCUAAUGUUGGAUUCUCAUUGAGCCACCAAUAGGCCGGCACGAAGUUCACUCUGACAAAUAACACAAUCUUUUCGGUUGGGUAUAUUGUCUUGUGAGCGUGUCGUGUUCUGAUGUGGCUGCCUGAUGGGUUUUAAAGGCCAUAUCAUAGAUGCUUGCUCAUCUCCCGAGCUCACGCUUGGGUUAUCGGAUAUGUGCCCGAUCAACAACGGUUUCAUUUGGGAUACCUUUGGGACCCGUCUUGAAACACGGACCAAGGAGUCUAUCUAGUAUGCGAGUAAAUGGGAUUCCAUUCAUAUAGAAAACCUAUUUGCGUAAAUAACUUAACUGUAAUUUAAUGGGAUUACGUGUACAUCUACUUCUUGCAAGUGUGUGCACCUCCAUCCCGGAGUAUUUUCACAACAUAUACGGAGCCUCGGCUACGCAUAUAGAAAAUAUAUCAUGAGCAUACUGGACAUGACCCGAAAGAUGGUGAACUAUGCCUGAUCAGGUUGAAGUCAGGGGAAACCCUGAUGGAGGACCGAAGCAAUUCUGACGUGCAAAUCG
rnacentral:rRNA from 1 species